rnacentral:rRNA from 1 species
UACGUAGGGGGCUAGCAUUGUCCGGAUUUAUUGGGCGUAAAGAGCGUGUAGGCGGCCAGGUAGGUCUGGUGUGAAAACUCGAGGCUUAACCUUGAGAUGUCAUCGGAAACCAUUUGGCUAGAGUCCGGAAGAGGAAAGUGGAAUUCCUGGUGUAGCGGUGAAAUGCGCAGAUAUCAGGAAGAACACCAAUGGCGAAAGCAGCUUUCUGGGACGGUACUGACGCUGAGACGCGAAAGCGUGGGGAGCGAACAGG